GCCAGUGCUAAAACAGAGGAAAACGGCACCAGCGUUAGAGACAAGCGCACCUGCUCCCUCGCACACACCGGGGCCUUCAUCGCCAUUGCCUGCCCAGCCCUACAGGGAUGGUUGGGGUCACCAGAACUCCGAGGCAGUUGCUAAGGAGCAGCCAAGGCCAAUCUCCCAAAGGCUGCCUUGUCACGAAAUGAAAUAGCUAGUGAAGGCAACCAAUAAGCCUUUGUCCAAGAGCAGGACAAGUGGAAACCAAGUCCAUGCGCCUGAAUAAAGGAGAAGACUCUUUAAGUGCAGCUUUAAACAUUUCAUCCCAGGCUGAAAUUCAAGGAUCACCAGCUUCUCAGAAACAUGCUCACGUUCAUCCUGACCUAGGACGUUACCCCUAGGCGUUAAUACAGUGUUUCUCCCGCACCAAGCGUGAAGCCUUUGAUUUCCUAGCAAAACUCUGGUGCCGAGGACCCUCUCGGAAACGUGUUUACCAGCAGAGGGCAUCAAAGCCCA